rnacentral:snRNA from 1 species
UCAGAAGCACAUAUUGGAAGCACUAAAAUUGGAAUGAUAUAGAGAAGAUUAGCAUGGCCCCUGCACAAAGAUGACAGACAAAUUUGUGAAGCAUUCUCUAUUUAA